UACCUAGAAUACUUUAUCAAACACUCUUC
rnacentral:piRNA from 1 species